CAACUACUCCCUCUGUCCCAAAUUUCUUGUCUUAUAUUUGUCUAGAUACGGAUGUAUCUAAUACUAAAAUGUGACUUGAUACAUCCGUAUCUAAACAAAUCUAAGACAAGAAUUUUGGGACGGAGGGAGUACUUU
rnacentral:pre_miRNA from 1 species